GUGAACGCUGGCGGUAGGCCUAACACAUGCAAGUCGAACGGCAGCACAGUAAGAGCUUGCUCUUACGGGUGGCGAGUGGCGGACGGGUGAGGAAUACAUCGGAAUCUACUUUUUCGUGGGGGAUAACGUAGGGAAACUUACGCUAAUACCGCAUACGACCUACGGGUGAAAGCAGGGGAUCUUCGGACCUUGCGCGAUUAAAUGAGCCGAUGUCGGAUUAGCUAGUUGGCGGGGUAAAGGCCCACCAAGGCGACGAUCCGUAGCUGGUCUGAGAGGAUGAUCAGCCACACUGGAACUGAGACACGGUCCAGACUCCUACGGGAGGCAGCAGUGGGGAAUAUUGGACAAUGGGCGCAAGCCUGAUCCAGCCAUACCGCGUGGGUGAAGAAGGCCUUCGGGUUGUAAAGCCCUUUUGUUGGGAAAGAAAAGCAGCAGGUUAAUACCCCGCUGUUCUGACGGUACCCAAAGAAUAAGCACCGGCUAACUUCGUG
rnacentral:rRNA from 1 species